rnacentral:lncRNA from 1 species
CUGGCAAGAAAUCUGGGUCUGCCGAGGGCGGCCCUAGUUCUUCAAAACCAGAGAAAGACAAGCUGCCAAUUGAACAAGAGUUAACUGAUGACAAGAAAAAGUCUACCAGAAGCAGACGAAGGAAGCGCCGUAAUGAGGAUCUGAAGAUGUCUGCUGAUCGACUAGGAGCAUAUGGAAAGCUAAAUUCGAAGCGUCACAAGAGCCAUUGAGCUUUGGAGAUUCAUCAAAGUACAUCUAGGGAAUUUUGCUUCUCUUUUUAUGCAUUUUGGAGGGAGUGAAAUCUCAAUUAACGAGAGUCUUUGCUUCUACUUUGGGAGUUGCAAACUAGUGUAAUCCUCGUAGUCAUUUCUCUGAGUUUGCAGACAGUGUUGUGCACCUCCUUUCCUGAACCAUAUAAUUUAAUUGCCUUGAAGUUUGCUGCUACUAUGUUUUGUGUUACUGUCAUUUCCUCUUCUAAUUUGCUUGAAUUGUCAAAUUAUCCCAGUGAUGAAUUGGCAGAUGAACUCAUAUAUGCCUGUUGAACUGGCCUCAUACUAAUGUUGUUAUUGUGAAAUUCUAAUGGCAUGGCGCCUUAUCUGUUCAUGCCCACCUGAUGCUCGCACGCUUUGUGUGCAUGCCAUUUAUGUCUCAAUCUGAAUAUGUCAUGUUAAUUGAUAUAUCCAGAUAGAACCUACGGUGGUCCAAGGUGCUGCAAUAGCAAACCACUGCGGUGGUCAUUGCUCCAUGCAGUCUAGAAAAGUCAGAUUCCUUUGUUGCUUUUGCUCUCCUCUGCAACUGAAAACAAGUGUGCUACCUGUGCUGCUCGAAGCCCCUACCGUGUUGUGCGCCAUGAUCCCACAAAUCUACCCCGAUUUGAUGCUCCUGAGUUGGUUGCCUCAUCCAUUUCUCUGAGGAAUUUUCCAAUUUCUGCACAAGCAGCAAGUUAUGCAUUCCAGCUACUGGUUGUUGAGAGCUCAAUCUGUAGGUGAGUUCCUGUUUUGUUUGGCUUUCUGUUGAGAUUCUUGAUAUUUCUGCAUGGCGAUGAAGCAUUUUUAUUUAGGUGCUUAUCAUUCUGAUGUUUCUUUUAAAUUGAACUACAUGCUGUCGAGAAUGUUAUUAAUGUCGGGUCAUUAUCUGCAGAAAUGGAUCACAUGGAUGAGCAUGAGUGCAUGACAGUGAUGACAUGAAAGUAGGGGCAGAUGGUGCCUCUAGAUUCAGAAAGAAGAGGUCUAAAGUGUGGGACAAGUGCAAGCCCAUCUUUGUAGAUGGAGUGAUUCGGAGUUUCACAGGUGCUCAUGGCGUCCAAUGGUACAAGCCAUUUGUGGCGAUACAAAAAAUUUGCUGAGCAAAAGAUAAAUUCUGUCCAAGCCCACUGCAACAGGAUGCAGAUUUGCCAUACGGUAUGCUUUAGCUACUGACUAGCUCUUAGGAGAGAUGCCAAAUUUUAUUCCAACCAACUUAUAUGUUUGUAUGACAAAUUAGCAUGGGUGCUUUAGGCCUUUAUCAUUAGUUUGUAUUACUAUCUGUGCUUAUCUGUUUGAUGAUAUUUGUUCAUUCAUCACGGAAACAUUUUUUCAUGGUGAUUACCAUUUGGAGGAUAAAUAAUUUUGUUACAUUUUUUACUUUUAGUUCUCUAACCCUACUUUGAUGUUGUGAAGUAUAUUGUGGUUAGUGUCUCCUUAAUAUCUUUGCAUGCCGGACUUAAAGAGAAACAUUGUGAAACAGAGGGACAUACAAUAGAUUCUAUACACCUCAUUGAUCACUUAUUUUGCUUUUAUUGCAUAAAUUUCGUAGUUUGCUAGUUUGUGAGUUGUAUAAAGCUAUGCUCCUGCUUUUUUGUUCAUGCAAAAUUGUAUGUCUUCAAUAUUUUGUGCAUAUUUUGAAGGGAGAGACAUACUCAAACUUGUCCAGCAUGAAGUGGAAAUAUCACAAGUCGUCAGAAGGGUGUGCUGUUCCAGUGCAGUAUAUCAAAUUUUAAAUCCAGGCUUCAAGGUGAGCAUUCACCUGCCUUCACAAAUGGUAAGGUUCAGAUUGCAGAGUAUGCCAGGAAAGUUCCUCAAGGGCAGCUCUGAUGAUAACAGCCCUGUGGAAUGUCACAUUCUAGCUUUACCAGUGAUGGAUGAGAUGAAUUCCACAGAACAAUAUACCUCCAGCUCAGAUUGCUCCGGACAUAAGCUGGGAAUUUGACCAAGAAGCAUCUUAGCAUCUUAUCAAGAGUUAACUACAUGAUUAUUUCACAUGUCUAUCCCUUGUUAAUAGUUGAGCAUGAAUAAAAAUGACAAAGUUUGCAAAGAGAAUCCUGCAUUUAAUAUCGGUUGAAGCAUUUAUAUAGAAGAGUACUCAAUUCUUCUAUUUCAGAAUGAAAAGGUUGACCUUAAGUGAAAAAUUGCACUUUUAUCCCAUCAGAAUCAGAUUUCCUUAUCAGCAAGUGUGUGAGCUCCUCGUGGAGCUGAGGCCUUAGUGUGGUAUCUCCAUGCUGUCUAGAAAGUCAGAUUCCUUUGUUGCUGGAGCUCUCCCCUGCAACUGAAAAGAGGAGAGCCCCAUGGAAGUCCAAGCUGAGUGACAGCAGGUGACGGUCUAGAGCUCGGUUUGCUGCAAUCGGGUGGAGUACUGGAGUGUCUUGAACAGCUCCAACACAGCUUUACAUCCGGCAUUAGGUUUUCUGUUUCCCUGCUUUCAAAACAAUAGGUUUGAUAGUGAGCUUGCCUGAGACCUUCAGAUAUCUCACACAGACCAAAUUGAGCCAUUUAUGCAGCAACUUUUGUAACUGUCCUUGAGUUCCAAUAAGGAAAAAUAAUAUUAAUUUAUCCAUACAUCUGACGUUGACAGCUUAGAGCUUUGGGCUCCUUACAAAAAAUAAAAGGAACUCUGCGUGUUUGUGAUGCUGUCUGGUACACUGGAAUUUUACACUGAUGCAAGACAAGCCACAAAAAUGAACAAAAUUUUGCCUCACUAAGUGAAGACCGAUUCAAAGAAGCUCCUGAGCAGUAGCAACCAGGUCAACAAAAACCAUUGUGGCCUGACAUCCACUUCCAAUCACCCCAUUUGUAUAUUCUUGUCAUUUUGCCAUUAGCACAAAACAAAUGCUCAAUGGGUUUAUUCCAUCGUGUUGGUAGUUGCACAUGUCCCUUUCUUCUAUCGUCACCAUCUUCAGCACCCCACGUUACUCUAUUUAUAUGCCCUCUCCCAUCUCAGUUUGCUCCUACAUUGAUCAUAGUCAAGCUGCUUAUAUGAUAUGGUACAUCCCUUUCUACUGCCAACUGCUGCUCCUAAUUUCUGUCCUGCUGUUUCCCUAUCUUCUUGUUCCCAGAGAAACAUACUGAUUGUUGCGCUCUAGUUUUUUCUUGUACGGAACACACUGAUUGUUGCUGGCUUGCUACCAAUUUUCCAGUUCUUGUGGCCACUCAAUCAGCAUCUGGUACUAGUAUUCAGUUCCUUGCAUAAACUUGCUGUGCAAUGUCCAAGACUGAGAGCAGAAAGCUGUCCG